UUUCUUUCUGGUGGUCCUUCCUUUGUGGAGCUUUUUAUUGUGAGCCUAAAUCUUUGGAUAUAUCCCACAAGAGAAACAUUUCGGAGAGGGUUGCUCUAUAAUUUACAUUCUUAUUGUCAAAUCUGGGAAAUGAAGCACAGAUACUUUAUGAGGAAUGGCUUGUUCAUUUUAAAUGGGAAAGAAACGAAUUUGAAAUAUAACUGCCUGGCAAACAAAUUUGAAGGUGAUUAAAUCAACCAUAUUUAAAGACCGGUGAGUCCAGAGUCCUGCAGUGAGUCUCGUAACAGCGCUGGGAAGCAGGUCAAUAACUUCUUGUCUCCUCUGCUACAAAUAUGGAGAACAGGCUGCUCCAUUUUUGCAUCAAUGUUUUAGGAUCAAAUGCCUCUCCAUACACCACAGGAGCCCACUGCGGAGCCCUGACAGCCCAGGAGUGAGUGUGAGCUCCCAUCCUGGGCUGGUGCUAUGGCCUUACCCAUAUGGAGCCUUCAUGGAGCUGAGCCAAAUUACCCCCUUCCACAAUCUAAGCAAGCACCUUUAUCUCUGGGCUUUCAUUUUCACUCUGUGGGUGUUUGGCAAUGGAGAUUAUAUUAGCAUACCAAGUAAUUAUUACCAUAUGCUAUUGUUUGAGGUCCUAACUGACGAUGUGUGUGGAGAAUGAUCUGAAUGAUACGUAUGGUAUCUCUCUUUACACACAGAGACAGGGGGAUCUAGGGUGUGACUAACUUCUUCCUAAAUACAGUUAAAAUUAUCUGCACCCAAAUUAUAUAUAUUUUUUUGCUACUGACUGUACAGGGAACCCAUCUCAGUCACAGCUGUCCCACUUGGAGAUGCCUUAUGGUAAAGUAAUUCUCACCUGAAAGAUGGACAGUUAAAUUCAACCCAAAACUUUAGUCCACACAGAAUACACAGUGUUAAGCAAGUCAGUCAGUGUAAUAAAUACAUGCCUAAACAUCUCCUCCAAGGGUUUAAAAAAUAAAACAAAAUAAGAACUUUGGGAAGUAAAAAUGCAGAACACCAAUCCCAGUUGAUUUUCUACAUUUUAUCAAGUGGAGGCAAACUCUCAAACAUUUGGAUAGAUUCAAGAAGAUGCCAUUUAUUUCUUGAUGUGAGGGCUAGCAGCUUUGCAAAGGGCAGGGAUGAGCGGGGACAAACUGUGAUGUUUCAAACCACUAUGCAGAGUGAACAAACUGCCGAUGGGAGACUCUGUUCCUUCAGCAAUGGCAGUGCAGCAACCUCUGCUUCUGUGUUCUUGGAGGCAUGGUGUCAGAUCCCUUAGCCUGCACCAGUGGAGUAACCUCUCCUCCCUGAGUUUCAUUUUUCCUAACACGACAUGAAGUUUCAGAUUUCCUGCAUAAAUAUUACAUGGGCCUCAGAAAUUAUUAAUAACAAGCGCAUUUGAAUUCAGAACCAGCUGUAGAAAUAAAUGUCCAGUACUUCAGAGGUAGUUUUACUUGUAGCAAACAGAGAUUAAAAAUGCAUUUUGCAACUUAUCACCUCUCAAAAAGCAUAAGAGGAAAAGUGAUAAAUUAUUAGGAUCCAAGCAUGGUAUAAAUGUGCCUGAGGUUUGAUUACUCGUAACUGUACCAGUAAUCAAAAGGGUAGGUACCAAAAUACCCGUGCUGUUCUUCCAUUAUAAACAGUAAUUUUUUAAUCUUAUCAUAUGAGUGUCUGUGAAGUCGAUGUAUUGAGCAAUUUGGAACUAAAAUUCCUGUCUUCAGG
rnacentral:lncRNA from 1 species